GCCACGAUGGGACAAGCUGGUACUCCGCAGGAUUGCUAAUCCUGUUUCCGCAAGGAUCUCCCGGUUCAAAUCCGGGUCGUGGCG
rnacentral:tRNA from 1 species